rnacentral:rRNA from 1 species
GACGAACGCUGGCGGCGUGCUUAACACAUGCAAGUCGAACGAGGCCCCUCCUUCGGGAGGGUGUCCUAGUGGCGAACGGGUGAGUAACACGUGGGCAACCUGCCCCCGGCUCUGGGAUAACCCCAAGAAAUUGGGGCUAAUACCGGAUAUGACCGCUGACCGCAUGGUCUGGUGGUGGAAAGAUUUAUCGGCUGGGGAUGGGCCCGCGGCCUAUCAGCUUGUUGGUGGGGUAGUGGCCUACCAAGGCGACGACGGGUAGCCGGCCUGAGAGGGUGACCGGCCACACUGGGACUGAGACACGGCCCAGACGCCUACGGGAGGCAGCAGUGGGGAAUAUUGCGCAAUGGGCGGAAGCCUGACGCAGCGACGCCGCGUGAGGGAUGACGGCCUUCGGGUUGUAAACCUCUUUCAGCAGGGACGAAGCGCAAGUGACGGUACCUGCAGAAGAAGCACCGGCCAACUACGUGCCAGCCGCCGCAGUAACAC